rnacentral:rRNA from 1 species
AGAGUUUGAUCCUGGCUCAGGAUGAACGCUAGCGGCAGGCUUAAUACAUGCAAGUCGAGGGGCAGCAUGGUGUAGCAAUACACUGAUGGCGACCGGCAAACGGGUGCGGAACACGUACAGAACCUUCCUUCGAGCGGGGAAUAGCCCAGAGAAAUUUGGAUUAAUACCCCAUAGUAUAGCGGAGAGGCAUCUCUUUGUUAUUAAAGAUUUAUCACUUGAAGAUGGCUGUGCGGCUGAUUAGGUAGUUGGCGGGGUAACGGCCCACCAAGCCUGCGAUCAGUAACUGGUGUGAGAGCACGACCAGUCACACGGGCACUGAGACACGGGCCCGACUCCUACGGGAGGCAGCAGUAAGGAAUAUUGGUCAAUGGACGAAAGUCUGAACCAGCCAUGCCGCGUGGAGGAUGAAGGUCCUCUGGAUUGUAAACUUCUUUUAUAUGGGACGAAAAAAGGGUUUUCUAACUCGUCUGACGGUACCAUAUGAAUAAGCACCGGCUAACUCCGUGCCAGCAGCCGCGGUAAUACGGAGGGUGCAAGCGUUAUCCGGAUUCACUGGGUUUAAAGGGUGCGUAGGUGGGUUGGUAAGUCAGUGGUGAAAUCCCCGAGCUUAACUUGGGAACUGCCAUUGAUACUAUCAGUCUUGAAUACCGUGGAGGUCAGCGGAAUAUGUCAUGUAGCGGUGAAAUGCUUAGAUAUGACAUAGAACACCAAUUGCGAAGGCAGCUGGCUACACGAAUAUUGACACUGAGGCACGAAAGCGUGGGGAUCAAACAGGAUUAGAUACCCUGGUAGUCCACGCC